CCCUUAGAUGCUCUGGGCCGCACGCGCGCUACACUGACGAAUGCAACGAGCUUAUAACCUUGGCCGAAAGGUCUGGGUAAUCUCCAAAUUUCGUCGUGAUGGGGAUAGAUUAUUGCAAUUAUUAAUCUUCAACGAGGAAUGCCUAGUAAGCGCAAGUCAUCAGCUUGCGUUGAUUACGUCCCUGCCCUUUGUACACACCGCCCGUCGCUCCUACCGAUUGAAUGGUCCGGUGAAGCGUUCGGACCGUGGCCUUUGGACGGUUCGCCGUCUGUUGGCUGCGGGAAGUUCGUUAAACCUUAUCAUUUAGAGGAAGGAGAAGUCGUANCA
rnacentral:rRNA from 1 species